CCUACGGGUGGCAGCAGUGGGGAAUAUUGGGCAAUGGGCGCAAGCCUGACCCAGCAACGCCGCGUGAAGGAAGAAGGCUUUCGGGUUGUAAACUUCUUUUCUCAGGGACGAAGAAAGUGACGGUACCGGAGGAAUAAGCCACGGCUAACUACGUGCCAGCAGCCGCGGUAAUACGGAGGUGGCAAGCGUUAUCCGGAUUUAUGGGUUGUAAGGGGCGUGUAGGCGGAAGGGCAAGUCAGAUGUGAAAACUCAGGGCUCAACCCGGAGCCUGCAUUUGAAACUGUGUUUCUUGAGUGCUGGGGAGGCGAGCGGAAUGCGUGGUGUAGCGGUGAAAUGCGUAGAUAUACGGAAGAACACCGGUGGCGAAGGCGGAUUACUGGACAGUAACUGACGCUGAGGCGCGAAAGCGUGGGGAGCAAACAGGAUUAGAUACCCCAGUAGUC
rnacentral:rRNA from 1 species